rnacentral:lncRNA from 1 species
GGGCAGGUGUGUGCAACACCUCCCUCAGACAUUCUCCCAGGCUCUCACCAUUUUCAGCCCAAGGGACUUCCAAAGCCUGAUGGUGCUCACUUUCUGCUGUGAACCAUAAUGAGCUAUUUCAUCCCUGUGCAGCUCCAACCCACAAGUCUUGAAGGCCUUGUACCAUAGGUGCAUGAGAUAUUCCAUCUAUGUUGGUACAUCUGGUCAGAAGAGAGAAGAAAAGUAAUUCAGAGGGCAAAAUAAAACUUCAAGCAGAGUCUUCUGGAAGCACCCAAGAGGAAAUACCAGUCAGAGACCUGCCUGGAGUAGCCAAGGUUUGCCUUUUAGGACUGGCAUUUUAGGAAUAUACAUCACUAAUAUAAGAAAAAGAGAGAUCCCUUAAUUCCUUGGAGAAGCAGUACCUCUGGAACCAGAUAAAAUGUCUGCAGUAAAAGCUGAAUACAAGUAAAAUUCAUUCACAUUUAAUGUUCCAUUCUAACUUUCAGGGUCACCUAGAUUAGAUUUAAAGUCUGUCCAAUACUUCAUAUGAGCCUGAAGUUUGAGAAAAACAGGAAGGACUUUUGUUUUUUCACAUUAUGUAGAUGGAACAGUGGUCAGGUAUCAGUGCUCAAAAAAACCUUGAAAAAGUGUGACUUGAGAGAGCAGAUUUAUUUUGUUCAUAUUUUUAUCAUGCCUUUACACCACUUCCCAAAUGAAAGCUUGGGGUAUUAAAUGGGGUGACUGAAUUUACCAGCACUUCUGUAACAAGAUCUUUAGACCACCCAACAUCUUACAAUGAAAGAUCAAUUUCUAUCAUCAUCUUACACAAAAUGUUUGUUUAAAAGUUGAAUUCCCACUUUGUGCCUCUGAACAAUGCAAUAACAUCCUCUUGCUUUUUGUGUUUUCUGGCCCAGGUAAGCUUUGGAUUCUUAUUCAAACCACUCUGUAUUCCAAACCCAAGCCCCUACCUCCCCUCAUCCCAGGUAGACAUUUGCAUCCUUUAAAUUAUGUUGUUUAUUCUAUGUGUUGGAAUACAGUUAUCUGAAUAUUAAUUAUGAUUUUAGUGAAGUUCAUCGGUUGAAUGAAGGAAUUGAGAAUUCUUCCUUCGGUUGCAGCCACCUGCCCAGAUUUCUGUGUUUAUCUGCUUCACUGAGUUUAAAUCAGUUUCUGUAAGUGAAAGUCUGUUGCUUUGAGCAGAUGUUAAUGCUCAGAAAUAGUGUACAGUCUGCCAUUAGCAUAUGUAGCAUAACACUAAUAAAUAGAGGCAUGUACCACCCUUGAAGGUGAUUCUGAUUUCAAUAAAGAAAUCUUCCCCUCCAUCCUGCCAGCCCCUUUCCUUAGGGAAGCCUCUGGCAUAUACAGCUGUUAAAAGUGAGGAAUCUUCCUCCCACCCCUGGAAAGACCUUAGCAAAUGGUCCAUUCUGUUUAUGCUACAUUUGGAUGAUUAAUGAUAUUGUAUAGUGUAACUAAAUUGUACUGCUAUUAUCAUCAGGUCACUGCUGACAAUUAGAUAUAUCAUCUCUGGGGUUCAUAUACAGAUAACAAUUUUAACUAUGUGGAUAAGUAAAGGUUUGAUGGUGUCCUGAUGUUAAUGUAAAUAUUACCACAUAUUGGAAAUCAGUAAUGCACCACAUGCGGGGAUCGCGUUGCACAGCAGCGGCUGCCAGAGAGCUGGAGCUGGUGAGAUGGUUGCAACAGUGGUUUUCUGCUUUAUCGUCCUUGUUAAUUUUUUUCCCUUCCCUCAGGGUUUGGAACAAUCCAUCUGUAAAACAUGACAGCCAUUUAGGCUCUAAGGAACCCAGCAGCUUUCAAGCAAAGCUGUAAUCAAACAGAUUUGGGAUGUUUUGGGUUUUGGGAGAGGGGAAGUUCAGUUACCUCAGUGCUUUUCUGGCUCCAUGUACAAGGCUUAGAGCUCCAGCACUAAAGCAGAGUCACUGGAAGAAAGUUGCUGUUUGUGCAUGUCCAGCUUAGCCAUGAGAAUGAGGAAAUCUGAGAAAAUCAGGUCCUGAAAGUCUCUUCAUGUUUAGUCUCGAGAACAGAUCAGUGCUCCUAAUCCUGGCAGCUGCAAGUAACCAUUUGAGAGAGAGGUCGUAUUAAGUCAAGACAAAAAAUGUGAGAAAGGACUUAUUGCAGAAAUGUAACAUUACAGCUCCUGGCUAAAGUUGAAAGUAUAUUGAAAAGGUUUAGAGGAGCAAGAAUUCAAAUUGAGCAAAGCCUCUGCCCCUUUUACUAUUCAUCUAUCAAUAACUGGCACAUGUCAUGUUAGGGCACAUACUAUAAAUUAAUUUUCUCGCUAAUAUUAAGAAACUUUAUUGCACCAAUCCUUAUCUUCAUAAAUCCUGAUAUAUACCAAGAGCAAAGAACAUGGAAGUCACUGCAAUAAUAUCAGAAGAAAACUGGAACAUGAUAAAAAUCAGCUUUACGGGCCUUGCAUUUCCAUCAGUCUAAUUCCCAUUUCAUAGGGAGGAAAACAUAGCAAUCUGCACUCCAAAAGAGAAAAGAAUCACUUGAUCAGAGCCCCCAACUGAUUUAUACUCACAAUUUCCUUCUGAGAUAGCAGCAGCGGAUGUGAAAAGCAAAGACUACGGAUAAUUCUGUUCUCCCCCACAUGAGAAGGGAAAGAUUUUCCUAAACUCAAGAAAUUACUGGAGUCAGAUUCAUUGGACAAUGGUUAUUUUUAAGUGGCUUGAGCUAUCCACUUCCAUCAUUUCAGGUGGGUGCUAUAUCCCAUUUUCCACAGAGGAAGGCACUAAAAAUGAGAACGUUUUUGCACAGAAAUAAACAUACAAGCUGAGUUCACACUUCAGUGAUUAUUGCAUACCUUGUCUGCUAAUUAAAUAAUGGGAUAUAAAUUAAAGUAAAAGCAAAAUACAAAACAAAAAAAGAAACAACUAAAAAUGCUCAUCUUGUUAGACAAUAGUUGCUCAUCUUGUUAGAGAGCUGAAUCUGUGCUGCAGGAGCAGACCUCCUGUUGCUAAAUUUUUACAGAUGCCCAGAAACUGACAAAACAAAUAACCCAAACAAAACCAAAGCAGAUCCUAGAGCACCCAUGGUUGUGCAAUAAGAAAACAGAGAGGGUCACAAGUAGAUAUUAGCUUCCAACUAAUCAACACAGAUGAGAGCACAAUUUCACUUGACAUCCUAGACCUCUUGGGAAAGGGAUUCAUCUUCAAGACAGUGUUUGGAUCUCUGGGCAGAGGUACCCAAUUUCUGUGGGUCUCAGAAUAAAAAAGCAAAUUUCUUCUCUGGUCCAAGCACACCUCUGCUGUCAAAUCAGUCCACUCAACAAUUUAAGAGAGAGAAAAUAAGGAAUGAGUAGUAUAAAUUCAUUUUUAUUCCACUGAUGUUCCCUUGCUCAUUAUUUGCAGUUAUUGAUCUGCAACUCAUGGAGAAGGCCAGAAACAGUAAAGGAUAAAGGUAAGCCCAAAAAACAUUGCUGUUCUAGAAGCUGGAGGGCAGAGGAGCGACAAGGAAGAAGAGCAGCAAGAGAAAGGGAGAACAGAGAAAGGAAGAGAAAAUUAGAAACAGAGCAAACACGAUUAAGUUUCAUCUGACUUAUUGGAUGUACACUUGGAAAGCAAAAGGCAGAGAGAGGAAGGGGAGAGAGAACAUGAACUGCAGCAAGUUCUGUCCUGAGGCUCCAUGCAAAGGUUUUGUCAGAGACUCUCUGAGGUUGGUGUCACUUCGCAUGAUGUGUAGCUUUAAUGAAAGAAGGAGGGGGCCAGGCAGGAGGAAAGGGAAAAAGGAAAAGUGACUGAGACUCUCUGUCUCUUGCUCAGUCUCUGCUUCAGAGACCUAUUGGCCAUAACUCUUGCAGGGCAAAUAACAAGCGUUCUCCAUCCAAAUGUACGCACAUUGGCACUUAAUCCUAUUUUAUAAAGGUUAUAGUUUUACAUAAAUCACUCACUUUAAAUGCACUUUAGUAAUCCUCCUCAUGUUAAGUUUCCCUUUAAGCCUAACUAGGCAAGGAGGAUUUCUCCCACUGGCCCUCUGGACAUGACGCCACCAAGAUUGAACUAUGCUCUCCAUCUUUAAUAUCCCUGGAGGGAUUCAUCUAUAAUGAUGUCAGGGGCUAAGCAUAUUCCCUUGCCAGGGUGGGGAAAUUAUAUCUGUCCUUUUCCGUCUCACUCAGGUCCAGCACAGCUAAAAACAAGUUGUUUGGAGACCAGAGAAAGCUGGUGAUGUUUCACUUUUGGUGUCUUGCUCUCCAUGCAGAUUCCCUAAUGUCUACUAAAGAGUGAGCUUAGCAGACUUUUCUUUGGUGAUUUCACUAUCAGUCAGCCCAUUAAUGAAGUUUAUAACAGGCACUGAGACUUCUGCUCUCUAUCGUAUCAUGUCGAAUUCACCCAGUGAUUCUCAGGGUUACACUGGAAGGACCGACUGUCAGACGGAGUCAGCCCUAGGUAGGCAGACAGCAUAUUGCUUGAAAAAAAACCACAUUUCACUGAGGAAUCAGCUUAAAAGUACUACUGACAUAAUUGCUGCAAGUCAUCUUUUACAUGUUCUCACACAGAUGCAUCCCUGAUGUGGAAGGCACGCUCAAGUUCCUGCAUAUUUUCCUAAUGAGUUCUGUGUUUGUUUCAUAGCAGGGUACACAGGCUGUUGAAUCAUCAAGCACUCAAGGAGCUUCAUGAGCUUUGACCAAGUUAGGUACAAUUAUUUUAACAACUUCAGAGCAGAAGUACACUACUCCAGCUGUUACCUUUACAUUUUUAGUGAGAAGUUAGUCAAGCAGAAUGAAGUAUCCUGCCAUGGACACAGAGCUUCAUGUGGCCAGAACAGAACUUGAUUUCUUUCAGCUAGCAUAGUUGAGCUAUCUCUGUGGUCCUUCACUUUAAGCACCUUAAAUUAAAGGCACCUUUAAUUGAAACCUUUCUUCUCAACACAGAUAUCCAUUUUCAUAGCAUUUCUUCCAGUUUAGUCACUCAGAUUUAGUCACUCACCUCGUCAGGUUUUCUGAAGUUGAAUAGAUUUUAAGAAAUCAUUGGAAUUGAGUACAGGAGAGUCAGAGACAGUAACACCACCAUCAGUAGGCUAAUGAAAAUUAAUCUAAAAAUACACUCUCUUUACAAGGAGAGAAGGUAGGUAACCAACAUUAGCUGGCAGGAGGAUUGCUCCUCAAGUUGUCUUGAUCUCUUUCUGAUCAAGUUUCUGGUAAUCUGCAAGAAUACCCGAAUUUAUUGUGAGGAAUCCAGAAACCUUUUUCAGUUUUCCACUAGCACAGAUUUUACCUAGCCUUUGUGUUUAAGAAACGAUUUAUGAGAUCCAGGUUUAAAUGAGUGUCUCUGCCUAGCACUAGAAGAGAAGCUGAUGCAACAGGAAGCAGCUCUUUUGUUCUUUCUGGCCUUUGUUCACCAGGCAAGAGACAGUUUAUGUGACUUCUAGUCAACCGAUGCAAAACCACGAGCCAUUGAACUAUAUUCCCAGAGUCUGAUUCAGAACACGAUUGUAAAUAGAUGACGCUCCACUGAAAUCAUUGCUGUUUAACUCUCCCCACCAACUCUUUGACUCUUCACAAUCUUCAACUCCGAUUCUAGCUCCAAAUUAACAUUAACAGCACAUAAUCUGUCUUAACGGAAAACUAAGGACAGAUAGGAGAUGAAAAGCUUGAACUCCUCUGCAGAGAGCAAUCUCACACCUCUGAAAUCCUCAAGCUUUCUAUGUCACCCUCAGCUUAAAUGACUGUAGAAGGCUAAAAAGGAGUGAAAUUCACCCACAAACAACAUGAAGAAAAUUUUUACUUGCCAGUCAGUGACGAUUCAUGCAUUAGCAAAUUCACGGGAAGUUCAAAGCUGCCUAGUUCUGUCACCAGCUUUGCACAGCUGGGAGAAACUCCAUUUUCUUGCAAUUGUAAUGACAUUCUACUACAAGAGUAAGAAUAAAUUUGUUUUAUAUCAGACAACCAAUAGAAAUAAUUCAUAAGUUUUCCUUAUGCAAUAUGGUUGCAUUUGGAAAACUCAACUGCAAUCAGUGCCCCACAGUGCAAGGUACUGUUCAUUCUUUAACAAAAAGCCAAGAGAAACAAAAGAGAGGAAGUCAUACACUCACACUCAAGGCUGUGCAGCAACUCAGCAGCCAAGGGAAAAAAUGAACUUUUGAAACUUUUUGAACUUUUUGAAAGUUUUUUGACCACCAGCCCAGUGUUCCUUAUGCUGCACUAUUCCCUCUGCCAUCAGUGAGGUCAGAGAGGUUUUUAUAUUUAUGCACUUCACAAUAUCAUCAUGCAAGAGUACCUCACAGCCUAUAUUCUUGUUUUUUCCCAAGAAAGUAAAAGCUGCUUCUGUUCCCAGUAAUGUAAGAAAAAUUGAGAUAUAGGGAAAAGCUGGAGCUACAGCAAUAAAUAAAUAAAUAAAUAAAUAAAUAAAUAAUGUCUAGACCAUAAUUUGUGGUGCUUAUGUCCCAACCUCAAAGGCCCCGCUCAGUUUCUACUCAACCCCAAAAGCACCUAUUCCAUCAGCAUAAAUACUCCUUUUCUAAUGAAUCCAUAUCUUGGAACAGGGCCCAGAUCUGAGGUCUCCUCUGAGUUGCAUAAAUGCCCUAACCAGAGCAUCAUUUUCUCAAAUCUCUGGUCCAAAAUUAAGACACAAGAAGAAGCAAAACAUUUUUAUCUCCUGCUAUUGCAGCAUCCAAAGCACCACCUUGAUACUUUUUGGUGCACACUGUUUUGGGAACAGUAGUCUCUGUCACAUCAAAUCACUGCCAUGUACUUUGUGGGGCACUCAGUCACCUGUACUGGCCUAGAGAGCCACUUCCAGCACCAGCAUCCCCCAGCUGUCCGCAGCACACCCAGAGCAGCUGCCUGCUCCCCUCUCUGCUGAGAUCCCCAACAAAAAAUUCUCUCUCCACACAAAUAUACAAGACAAACGUUUAUCUGAAAUGUUUAGGGCAUUGGGUUUUCUGAAGAUUUUCUGUUAAAACCUCCUUGGCACUAAAAACCAGGCUGGGUCAUGGAAACACAAAGCUUCUAAGUUUCUCUAAGUUAACAGAAAAAAAAAAAAAAAAAAAAAAAAAA